GAGAGCACGACAUUGCUCACAUUGCUUCCAGUAUUAUUUUAGCCAGCCUAAGCGCUGGCUUUUUUUU
rfam:Brenneria sp. EniD312 chromosome, whole genome shotgun sequence.